GCAAUAUUUUGUAAAUUUUAUAGCAAGGAGAAUCUGGCCUGGGUAACUGCUACAUUUGAGUUUGGUUUUAAGGAAAAGGCAAGAUUACAGAUUUCAUCCUUGUAUUGGCCAGUUAGGUCAGUACACAUUCAAACUGUUCCAAGACACAUUUAUAGGUUUCAUCUGUACCCUUAUGUCCAGCAGACUAGUUUAUAAUUCGUGCUCUUGGUCACCAGGAAGAUAAGACUAUAAGCUCAUCUCUGUUCUUGCCUGGGAAAUCCCAUAGUCAGGCUACAGUCCGUGGGACUGCAAAAGAAUUGGACUUGACUGAGUGGCCAAACAACAACUAGUCAGAAAACAGCCCUGUGGUUGGUAGCACUGAUUGUGGUGAUGUAACAGAGGUCCUGAGAUUUGACUUUUGGCAUUUUCCCUUUAGAAAUUUUAUCUCCUGGGCAUUGGGAAGGCUCUGUAUCUUGAUCUGGGUGGUGGUUACAUGAGAUUCAUGUGAAAAAUUCAUCAAGCUGCGUACUUAAAACUUGCAUAUAAUAUUUAGCUAUAUGAAAAUUACUCUCUGUUUAAAGAAGAAGAGAAAUUAUAAGCAGGCAGAAAUUAUAAUCAGAUCACCCUUUUAACUCAGCCAUCCUAACUACUUCUGCCUUUCUGGCUGUUUCUAAAUGACCACAGAGACAGGCCACACAGCUGGUCAGGGACAGAGCUGGGGUUUAGUCCAGCUCUUACUCACUCGGUGUGGAGUGUGACUUUCACUGGGAACUCUUCCAGUGCCUAGGAUCUGCCUGAACUGUGUGGCGAAUGAGUACUGGGGCUGGUCGAGGGGCUCAGGUCUCCUGGACCUGGGGUGAAUGCUCUGUCCGUCCUGCGCCCCUCUUUAACCCUGGCCCCCAGUGUUGUACUGGUUUUGCAGUAGACGGCCAGUAAAUACCUGUUGAGUCAGUGUUACCGGAGCAGAGUUAUUGCCGAAGGCCAAGCAGACUGCCCACUUGGCAGUUGCUGGAAAAACCAAGGCAGGAAACUCAAUUCUUAUUUUUUUCCCCAUGGCAACACCAAUGGCUGUUGGUCUGUCACAAGCGCAUGGAAAGUUCCCACUGGAGAUAUCAGAGCUCUCUGGCAGGACCCGUAGGUGUUAAUUUUAGCUUUCAAUGACUGAUGCCCUUGUAUAAUUUAAUGGGUCAGGAGGAGCAUGAGCGAAAGCCAAGAUUACUCACUCGGAGAGCUUUCCUUUCCUGUCGAGUACUUGCUGAGUUAUUCAGUUUGUAAAGGACUUGCUACUUAUUCAUUUAUUUGGAGAGAGUUUCCGCUCUUUUGAGUCUAGCCUGAUAACUAUAAACGAUUCCUUAAAUCUAUUAGCAAUCUAUCCUAUCAAUUAGAUCUUCCUUGAGUUUGUGCAUUAAACAUGAGUUCAACUCACAGUGUCAGAUGCUAAAAGGCUAUAGAUAUAACCAUAAAAUAAAAUGCUCGCAUGUCCCUACAUACUCUGAGUUGAAAGAUACAUAGGUUGAAUGUCAAUUACUUGGAACGAGGAAGUGAAUAUCCGCAGGGGUUUCUGUGUCUGCCCCAUUUUACUACUUGAGUCCUGGUGGGAAAUGAGGACUUUCAUAUUGAGGAGAGAGGCUUGUGCUUCUGGAGAAAUAAUAUCUCAGCUCCCAAUUGCAGCGGUCCUGGGGUCACUGGGGAUAGGACUCUCUAGCUGAGCACAGAUUCAUGCAUUUGACUUUGUGCACCGUCUACUUCCACACUGUAUGUAACCCGUCAUACCGGGCCUCAGGUGCAUCAGCUGAUGAAAGAGCUUUCUGAGCUUUUGCCUGGUGGUGGUCCCUGCUGAUCCGCAGAAUAGCUUCAGCGGGUUGUGUUCCUUGCUUGUUCAGUGGGCUUUGUCGAAUUCUUUGAGUAUUUUAUUACAUCCCUCCCUAAUUAAUUUUGGAAAGUCAGCAGAAAAUGGAGAAAGAGAAUCAUAGACUUCAUGAAUGCAAUGUAUUAGAAAGGAAUCAUUAGAUGCUGUGAAAGUGUGGGUCUUUAGAUUCAACCAGAUACUCCAAGAAAUCAAACUGCCCAACUGUGGACCCAAUCGUGAAGGAAAAAAAUGAUAAUAAAGGACACGGAUGAGGUGCCGAAAUACAACAAUAUAAAUACAUCUGAGGUUUCUGCUCUCACCUUCUGCUCUGCCUGCUUUGCCUGAGUCUGGGGACUCCACAAAUGGAAGAUUUGGAGACAAAAGUAUUUAGAAAAGAAGUGUACUUGAAAAAAAUCUGUUAAGAAUCUUCAUGGGCUAGAAGGAUUAGAUCAUCAAAAAAAAAAAAAGAAUACAGGUAUCUAAAGGUACAAUGUGUUUUUUCCUUUCUGACUAUGAGAUGAAGUGUGUAUGAUUACCCAAAGUGAGAUGCCAUUUUGCUUCUACAGUUCCACCUGGUGGUCAGGUUUCUGGCCCUGAGGCACAUACUUAACCACGUGGGAAAGCAUGGACUUACACCCCACGCUUCUCAUAAAUGGAAGAGCCUUGGUCUCUACCCCACAGGUGGUCAUGAGGAUGGAACAUCUCCCUGGACAAAAGCCAGCAGCGGUAGGAUGCUGAUUCCCUUUAGGAUGGACUGGUUGGAUCUCCUUGCAGUCCAAGGGACUCUCAAGAGUCUUCUCCAACGCCACAGUUCAAAAGCAUCAAUUCUUCGGGCGAUUGGAAAAUGCCACCCGCCUCAAGAUAUGUUGACAUCUUAGUCCCUUGAACCUGUGAAUGAGACCGUGUUUGGUAAAAGGACUUUGCAGGUGUAAGUUGAGCAUCUUGAGAGGAGACCAUCAUCCUGGAUCAUCCAGUUCAGUUCAGUUCAGUUCAGUCCCUCAGUCGUGCCCAACUCUUUGUGACCCCAUGGACUGCAGCACGCCAGGCCUCCCUGUCCAUCACCAACUCCCAGAGUUUACUCAAACUCAUGUCC